GGCGACGUAGCUCAGUUUUGGUUAGAGCACACGGUUCAUACCCGUGGGGUCACUGGUUCAAGUCCAGUCGUCGCUACCA
rnacentral:tRNA from 1 species